CUUACAAGUAGUCGGAGCCCGUUAAUGGGUGACGGCGUACCUUUUGUAGAAUGGACCGGCGAGUUACGAUCGUAUGCAAGGUUAAGUGGAAGACACGGAGCCGCAGCGAAAGCGAGUCUGAAUAGGGCGUCCUAGUAUACGGUCGUAGACCCGAAACCGUGUGAUCUACCCAUGUCCAGGGUGAAGGUCAGGUAACACUGACUGGAGGCCCGAACCCACGUAUGUUGAAAAAUGCGGGGAUGAGGUGUGGGUAGGGGUGAAAUGCCAAUCGAACACGGAGAUAGCUGGUUCUCUCCGAAAUAGCUUUAGGGCUAGCCUCAAGGAACGAGUACUGGAGGUAGAGCACUGAUUGGACUAGGGGCCCUCACCGGGUUACCGAAUUCAGUCAAACUCCGAAUGCCAGCUACUUAGACUUGGGAGUCAGACUAUGGGUGAUAAGGUUCAUAGUCGAAAGGGAAACAGCCCAGACCGCCAGCUAAGGUCCCAAAGUAUACGUUAAGUGGAAAAGGAUGUGGAGUUGCCCAGACAACCAGUAUGUUGGCUUAGAAGCAGCCAUCAUUUAAAGAGUGCGUAAUAGCUCACUGGUCGAGUGACUCUGCGCCGAAAAUGUACCGGGGCUAAACGUAUCACCGAAGCUGCGGAUUGUUCUUACGAACAAUGGUAGGAGAGCGUUCCAAGUGCUGAGAAGUCAGACCGUGAGGACUGGUGGAGCGCUUGGAAGUGAGAAUGCCGGUAUGAGUAGCGAAAAAAGAGUGAGAAUCUCUUUCACCGAAUGCCUAAGGUUUCCUGAGGAAGGCUCGUCCACUCAGGGUUAGUCGGGACCUAAGCCGAGGCCGAAAGGCGUAGGCGAUGGACAACAGGUAGAUAUUCCUGUACCACCUCAUGAGCGUUUGAGCGAUGGGGGGACGCAGUAGGAUAAGGAAAGCGCACUGAUGGAAAUGUGCGCCCAAGCAGUGAGAAAGUUGGAUAGGCAAAUCCGUCCAACAAUUUUGAGCUGUGAUGGGGAGGGAAAUAGAGUACCGAAGUUCCUGAUUCCACACUGCCAAGAAAAUCCUCUAGUGAGUUCAUAGGUGCCCGUACCGCAAACCGACACAGGUAGGCGAGGAGAGAAUCCUAAGGUGAGCGGGAGAACUCUCGUUAAGGAACUCGGCAAAAUGACCCCGUAACUUCGGGAGAAGGGGUGCUCCUUUAAGGAGGAGCCGCAGUGAAUAGGCCCAAGCGACUGUUUAGCAAAAACACAGGUCUCUGCGAAGCCGAAAGGCGAAGUAUAGGGGCUGACACCUGCCCGGUGCUGGAAGGUUAAGGGGAAGCGUUAGCACUUUGGUGCGAAGCGUAGAACCGAAGCCCCAGUAAACGGCGGCCGUAACUAUAACGGUCCUAAGGUAGCGAAAUUCCUUGUCGGGUAAGUUCCGACCCGCACGAAAGGUGCAACGACUUGGGCACUGUCUCAACGAGAGACCCGGUGAAAUUAUACUAUGUGUGAAGAUGCACAUUACCCGCGACAGGACGGAAAGACCCCGUGGAGCUUUACUGUAGCCUGAUAUUGAAUGUUGGUACAGCUUGUACAGGAUAGGUGGGAGCCGUCGAUACCGGAGCGCUAGCUUCGGAGGAGGCAUCCGUGGGAUACCACCCUGGCUGUACGGACAUUCUAACCCAGGACCGUAAUCCGGUUCGGAGACAGUGUCAGGCGGGCAGUUUGACUGGGGCGGUCGCCUCCCAAAGAGUAACGGAGGCGCCCAAAGGUUCCCUCAGAAUGGUUGGAAAUCAUUCGCAGAGUGUAAAGGCAGAAGGGAGCUUGACUGCGAGACCUACAAGUCGAGCAGGGACGAAAGUCGGGCUUAGUGAUCCGGUGGUUCCGCAUGGAAGGGCCAUCGCUCAACGGAUAAAAGCUACCCCGGGGAUAACAGGCUUAUCUCCCCCAAGAGUUCACAUCGACGGGGAGGUUUGGCACCUCGAUGUCGGCUCAUCGCAUCCUGGGGCUGUAGUCGGUCCCAAGGGUUGGGCUGUUCGCCCAUUAAAGCGGUACGCGAGCUGGGUUCAGAACGUCGUGAGACAGUUCGGUCCCUAUCCGUCGUGGGCGCUGGAAGUUUGAGAGGAGCUGUCCUUAGUACGAGAGGACCGGGAUGGACACACCGCUGGUGUACCAGUUGUUCCGCCAGG
rnacentral:rRNA from 1 species